rnacentral:lncRNA from 1 species
AGGCUUAAAAUUGUUGUUUUUGCAGAAUGAUCUUCAGGUAAAAUAAGGUGUUUGUUUCUUGGGCCUAUUUUUUCCCCACACAACUGAAGAAGACAUUUACACCACUUCUUGGAUGUCAUCAAGCAUCUACGAUAAUUUUUCAAAUCUUUGUGUCUAAUUGUAAAAACAAUUAUUCACAAUUUCUUUUGGAUGAAAACUCUAGCACUAUUGGUGAUUUAUAUUUUUAAUCUAUCUAAUAUUUAUUCGUCUGCGUGGCAGUACAACUGCUGAUUCAAUCCAGGGUUCCAAAUCACGUGACAUACCAAACUUUCGAUGUGCAGAAUCCAUGAUAAACCAAAUGGAGCAAACCGUAAACCAAAAAAUGCAUUAUUUUGCCUUUACCACUAGCUCAUUGCAAACUCAGGUCUUUUUUUUUUUUUUUGAGGUUAAGCCUCGAGUCUUUUCUCUGUGGCCAUUCCCUAUUGCAAACGCAGGUCACAGUUGAAAAAGUUUGCACUUGGAAUAAACAAAAUAAAAAAAUUUGCAACCAAUCAAAUUUUAGUAACAAGUAUAACGUAUCCUAUGUACAAUAAAAAAAAAAUUAGUAACGAGGCUGUCUCCAAAAAAAUGCAAUUUUUUCCACUAGAAAACAAAAACACAAAUUGCAAAUCUAUAUGCUCAAAACAGAGAGAGAUUGAAGAAAAACACAGGCACCUAGCUUGUGCCGCGGGCGGGGAAGCCACUCUAGUACCACAUAUAUAAGGGUCUUGAAAUGGUGUUAAAUUUGCCUUUGCAGCUAGGGAAAAAGAAAUCUAUGCUCUGUUGAUGGAAGGACAAUCAACGCAAUCAUCUUUCUCAACUAUUAUGGUGUAGGAAAGUGUCGCGCCCCACUUUUCGAUUCGAGUGAAAUGUGUGUGAUGUGUGGUGUGUAAUGUGUGAACGUGUGCAAAAUGAAAAGUAAAAGGCCAUGGGAUUUAGAAUGCGACGAUUUGGCCAAGUGAAGUUCAAAAGGGUUUUUUGUAUCAAAAAUGGAGUCGCCACUUGGUAUAGAGUUAGGGUGUACCAAGUCACCCAAAAAGUGUUUUUGUUUUUGAAUAAAAAGUAAAUAAACCCUUUUUGAGAACUUUUGGGUCUGCGUAACCAAAAGAGGGAUCGGGGGUCACAUUUGACGAAGGGGAAGGCAAGGAUAAAAAUCCAAGGCACCCCUUCGACCUAGCCAAGGCUAGUUGCGUGACUUAAGCCAAUUUUCCUAAUUUUUCUACCCAAUGUAUGUUCGCACGUUGGAUAUGACUAUAUGAAUACAAAACGGAAAGGAAAAUGCAAUCCUAAAUUCUACGAUGUCUCUCGUGAGGCUUUUGGUCCCAAACCACAUGAGUUGUGGCGGCCAACAAAGGAAAACCCCAUAGAGGUCGAUUAAUGCAAAUGAGACUCAAGUGUGCAAGUGUGAAAGUGUAUGAAAGAAAUUAAAAAUCCGAGUGUUUGUGUGCAAGUGUAUGAAAAGGUGCACGUGUGCAAUCGUAUGAAAAUUC